rnacentral:misc_RNA from 1 species
GGGUUAUUGUUGUCUAGUGCUAAAAAUUGUAUCCCGGGAAAAAGCUUGAUGAAACAAGUAAAAAACCACUUUUUGUGGUUUCCACACUUGUAAGCAACUUGUUUUUCUCUUUUAAGACAUCAAGUAAGAAAAAUAAAUAUGUUAUAAUGAUAAAUUCCUUGACAACGGACAACUACAACCAAAAAACGGCAUGAAUACCAAACCAGUGCUAAAUUUUACAUGUUCUAACCAAUUACGAAUUUUUUAGUUUUACCAAACAAAAAGAACGGAACGUUUUUAGUUUUGAGUCAUGGGCCACAGGCCUACAUACACCCACCUAACAUGGCAAUAUGGAAAUGAAUUUUUC